CGCCCGCGUAGCGCAGGUGCUGCGGCACAUCCUCGCCGAGGAUUUCAAGGGCCCGUUCGACCCGGGCGCCGGCGGC
rnacentral:tRNA from 1 species